rnacentral:rRNA from 1 species
AUUGAACGCUGGCGGCAUGCCUUACACAUGCAAGUCGAACGGCAGCACGGGUGCUUGCACCUGGUGGCGAGUGGCGAACGGGUGAGUAAUAUAUCGGAACGUACCUUAUUGUGGGGGAUAACGCAGCGAAAGCUGUGCUAAUACCGCAUAAUCCCUAAGGGGGAAAGCGGAGGACCGUAAGGCCUCGCGCAAUUAGAGCGGCCGAUACCUGAUUAGCUAGUUGGUGAGGUAAAGGCUCACCAAGGCAACGAUCAGUAGCUGGUCUGAGAGGACGAUCAGCCACACUGGGACUGAGACACGGCCCAGACUCCUACGGGAGGCAGCAGUGGGGAAUUUUGGACAAUGGGGGCAACCCUGAUCCAGCAAUGCCGCGUGAGUGAAGAAGGCCUUCGGGUUGUAAAGCUCUUUUGUCGGGGAAGAAACACCGGCUCUAACACAGUCUGGGAAUGACGGUACCUGAAGAAUAAGCACCGGCUAACUACGUGCCAGCCGCCGCCGUAA